ACAAACUUGGUCAUUUAGAGGAAGUAAAAGUCGUAACAAGGUUUCCGUAGGUGAACCUGCGGAAGGAUCAUUACCAAUCUUUAGCGGGCCUUGGCUUGUCCAUGGUCUCGCAAAACUCUGUAUUUAAAACCCGCUCUUUUAAAUUUUGAAUCAUAUGUUUAUCAUAUUAUAAUUAAGAUCACUUUCAACAAUGGAUCUCUUGGCUCUCUUAGAGGAAGUAAAAGUCGUAACAAGGUUUCCGUAGGUGAACCUGCGGAAGGAUCAUUACCAAUCUUUAGCGGGCCUUGGCUUGUCCAUGGUCUCGCAAAACUCUGUAUUUAAAACCCGCUCUUUUAAAUUUUGAAUCAUAUGUUUAUCAUAUUAUAAUUAAGAUCACUUUCAACAAUGGAUCUCUUGGCUCUCGCAUCGAUGAAGAACGCAGC
rnacentral:misc_RNA from 1 species